GAUGAACGCUGGCGGCGUGCCUAAUACAUGCAAGUCGAGCGGAAAGGCCACUUCGGUGGUACUCGAGCGGCGGACGGCUGAGUAACGCGUAGGAGCGUACCCCAAACUGAGGGAUAAGCACCGGAAACGGUGUCUAAUACCGCAUGUGCUCUAAGGAGUAAAGCUUCGGCGGUUUGGGAACGGCCUGCGUAAGAUUAGCUUGUUGGUGAGGUAAUGGCUCACCAAGGCGACGAUCUUUAGCUGGUCUGAGAGGAUGAUCAGCCAGACUGGGACUGAGACACGGCCCAGACUCCUACGGGAGGCAGCAGUAGGGAAUUUUCCACAAUGGGGGCAACCCUGAUGGAGCAACGCCGCGUGCAGGAUGAAUGCCUUCGGGUUGUAAACUGCUUUUAUAUGCGAAGAUUAUGACGGUAGCAUAUGAAUAAGGAUCGGCUAACUCCGUGCCAGCAGCCGCCGUAACAC
rnacentral:rRNA from 1 species